GACGAACGCUGGCGGCGUGCUUAACACAUGCAAGUCGAACGAUGAAAUCUAGCUUGCUAGGUCGAUUAGUGGCGAACGGAUGAGUAACACGUUACUAACCUGCCCCUUUCUCUGGGAUAACGCUCCGAAAGGAGUGCUAAUACCGGAUACUCACACCUAGGCAAAUGCAUUGGUGUGGAAAGUUUUUCGGAAAGGGAGGGAGUCGCGGCCUAUCAGCGUGUUGGUGGGGUACCGGCUCACCAAGGCGGCGACGGGUAGCCGGUCUGGGAGGGCGACCGGCCACACUGGGACUGAGACACGGCCCAGACUCCUACGGGAGGCAGCAGUGGGGAAUAUUGCACAAUGGGCGCAAGCCUGAUGCAGCGACGCCGCGUGAGGGAUGAAGGUCUUCGGAUUGUAAACCUCUUUCAGUAGGGACGAAGCGAAAGUGACGGUACCUAAAGAAGAAGCACCGGCUAACUACGUGCCAGCAGCCGCCGUAA
rnacentral:rRNA from 1 species